rnacentral:misc_RNA from 1 species
GUUUUUAUUUUGGGUAUCCUUUUGAUCGUUCCAGUCCCUCCCCUCUCUCUCACGUUGAGGGCGUGGGAUUCCAAACCUUGUCCUGACGCUGACGAGUUCUGUCUUCUGUGUACUCAGUCGGAGAACUGGAUUGGAAUUUGAGGUUCCGGACCAAGCCAAAGUCACCCCUUUUCAUUUUCAAUAAUAAUAACAACAACAGUCUGUAACCCAACUGCCCAAACUACCUCAUUAAUAUCAUAUUGUUUGUUGGGACUCCAUUUCCCUUCUUCUCCUCCUUUUCUGGUGCUUGAUGUGUUUCUGAACAACCCAA